GAGGGGAAACAAACAAGACCUUAAGUCAUUUUUUUCCCCAUCUCUAGUAGUUCUAAUUCUUCCUACACUGCAUCAGUACACUUCUGGGGUCUGUUAAAAUACUUCCUCUGUCUGGGAGACACUCUCUAGCUGCUACAACUUCAUGCCCCAGUCAUCAGGAAGUUGUAAUCUGACAUCUUUGUUCCUUGUCCCCUUACAGUAAUUGGAGUGUCUUCUUAUGAGAUGGUGAAAUAAAGAGGGGUACAGUUAGGGUGACUAGACCUCUGAAGGUAAAAUCAAGUAAAAGGUUUUUCUUUAUCUCUUGCCCAGUUCCAAAGAACUGUUUUUCCCUAUGUGCUGGCUCUGCAAAGGACAGGCCUUGCCCUCAUUUAUUCUAGUCAAGUUAUGCCUCUCUGCCUGUCCAGUUCUUAGCCAACCAGAACUGAAUGCCUGUUCAAUAUUUCCAUAAACAGGACUACUUGUGUCAAGAUGCCUGCUCUCAUAUGGUGGGAAGGGGUAACCAACCCUUGCAUAAAUAUUUCCUCUCCCACUUUUUGUUCUCCAGUCUUGCUUGUUUAACAGGUAUAUCUCUAUGAGUCACAAAAAUGGUCUUCAAACUCCAUCUGUGUCAACCAAGAGAGAUUUUCAUCCCUCUUUUGGUGGUCCUCAGCAAGAUGCUGUCUCUUGGUGCCUGUGGUGACCAACAGCCUCGAAUCUCUCCAGAGAUGAUUGAACUCUCUUACAGAAUGAAAGAGAGAAAGAGAGAGAUGAUGGCAAUACUGCUCAUGUCUCAGUCCAUGAGUGCCAGUCCUGCAUGGCUGGUGCUUCAGUCUCUACAACCUGGAAAGACCCUGAGCCAGUGUGACUCCACUAUGGAAAGAUACACACUGGAACAACCUGUAGCAGCUGAGCUGUCUCCAUGGAUGGAUCCAGGGCAGGGAAGACCCAGAACUUCUGUGCCUCCUCCAUGGACAGAUCCAGUGUUCAGAAGACCAAGAGCCCUGGCACCUCCUCUGUGGAUGGAUCCAGUGCCAGAAUGAUCCAGAACUGUGAGCCUCCUCUGUGAUGGAUCCUCCUGGUGCAGUGAGUAGAGACACUGCUUUAUGAGGAGCACCAGAGCUGUGAACUUGUGCAUCCCUACCUACGCCCUACCCUCCAAUCCACUCCUGACAGAUAUCCCCCUGCUAUGAGCUUGCAUAAGAUGCGUGCUUUUUUCAUUUAAAAAGUAUUUGUUCACUA